rnacentral:rRNA from 1 species
AGUGAACGCUGGCGGUAGGCCUAAUACAUGCAAGUCGAACGGCCGCACAGUAAGCGCUUGCCUUUACGGGUGGCGAGUGGCGGACGGGUGAGGAGUACAUCGGAAUCUACUACUUCGUGGGGGAUUACGUAGGGCAACUUACGCUACUACCGCAUAUGUUCUACGGGUGGAAGCAGAGGAUCUUGACACCUUGCGUGAUUGAAUGAGAUGAUGCCGGAUUAGCUAGUUGGCGUGGUAAGGGCCCACCAAGGCGACGAUACGUAGCCGAGCUGAGAGGAUGAUCGGCCACACUGGAACUGAGACACGGUCCAGACUCCUACGGGAGGCAGCAGUAGGGAAUAUUGGGCAAUGGGCGAAAGCCUGACCCAGCCAUGCCGCGUGAGUGAUGAAGGUCUUCGGAUUGUAAAACCCUUUUAUUGGGAAAGAAAAGCUGUGGGAGAAAAUCCGCCUGUCUUGACGGUACCUAAUGAGAAAGCACCGGCUAACUUCGUG